GAUGAACGCUGGCGGUAUGCUUAACACAUGCAAGUCGAACGGACUCUUCGGAGUUAGUGGCGGACGGGUGAGUAACGCGUGAGAAUCUGGCUUUGGGUUCGGGACAACCACUGGAAACGGUGGCUAAUACCGGAUGUGCCGAGAGGUAAAAGAGAAAUUGCCUGGAGAUGAGCUCGGGUCUGAUUAGCUAGUUGGUGAGGUAAAGGCCCACCAAGGCAGCGAUCAGUAGCUGGUCUGAGAGGAUGACCAGCCACACGGGGACUGAGACACGGCCCAGACUCCUACGGGAGGCAGCAGGGGGGAAUUUUCCGCAAUGGGCGAGAGCGUGACGGAGCAAUACCGCGUGAGGGAAGAAGGCUCUUGGGGUGUAAACCUCUUUUCUUAGGGAAGAACAAAAUGACGGUACCUAAUGAAUCAGCAACGGCUAACUCCGUG
rnacentral:rRNA from 1 species